rnacentral:misc_RNA from 1 species
AACCUAGCACACCUGCGGUGUGUACCUGCGGAAGGAUCAUUACCGAGUUUACAACUCCCAAACCCAUGUGAACAUACCUAUCGUUGCUUCGGCGGAUCGCCCCGGGCGCCUUGCGUGCCCCGGAUCCAGGCGGCCGCCGGGGGACCUUAACUCUUGUUUUUACUGAGAAUCUUCUGAGUCGUUUUUACAAAUAAAUAAAAACUUUCAGCAACGGAUCU